UACGGAGGAUGCAAGCGUUAUCCGGAAUGAUUGGGCGUAAAGCGUCCGCAGGUGGCAAUGUAAGUCUGCUGUUAAAGAGUCUAGCUCAACUAGAUAAAAGCAGUGGAAACUACAUAGCUAGAGUACGUUCGGGGGCAGAGGGAAUUCCUGGUGUAGCGGUGAAAUGCGUAGAGAUCAGGAAGAACACCAGUGGCGAAGGCGCUCUGCUAGGCCGUAACUGACACUGAGGGACGAAAGCUAGGGGAGCGAAUGGG
rnacentral:rRNA from 1 species